CUCAGAUGAAACGCUGGCGGCAGGCCUAACACAUGCAAGUCGAACGGUAACAGGAAGCAGCUUGCUGCUUUGCUGACGAGUGGCGGACGGGUGAGUAAUGUCUGGGAAACUGCCUGAUGGAGGGGGAUAACUACUGGAAACGGUAGCUAAUACCGCAUAACGUCGCAAGACCAAAGAGGGGGACCUUCGGGCCUCUUGCCAUCGGAUGUGCCCAGAUGGGAUUAGCUAGUAGGUGGGGUAACGGCUCACCUAGGCGACGAUCCCUAGCUGGUCUGAGAGGAUGACCAGCCACACUGGAACUGAGACACGGUCCAGACUCCUACGGGAGGCAGCAGUGGGGAAUAUUGCACAAUGGGCGCAAGCCUGAUGCAGCCAUGCCGCGUGUAUGAAGAAGGCCUUCGGGUUGUAAAGUACUUUCAGCGGGGAGGAAGGGAGUAAAGUUAAUACCUUUGCUCAUUGACGUUACCCGCAGAAGAAGCACCGGCUAACUCCGUGCCAGCAGCCGCGGUAAUACGGAGGGUGCAAGCGUUAAUCGGAAUUACUGGGCGUAAAGCGCACGCAGGCGGUUUGUUAAGUCAGAUGUGAAAUCCCCGGGCUCAACCUGGGAACUGCAUCUGAUACUGGCAAGCUUGAGUCUCGUAGAGGGGGGUAGAAUUCCAGGUGUAGCGGUGAAAUGCGUAGAGAUCUGGAGGAAUACCGGUGGCGAAGGCGGCCCCCUGGACGAAGACUGACGCUCAGGUGCGAAAGCGUGGGGAGCAAACAGGAUUAGAUCCCCUGGUAGUCCACGCCGUAAACGAUGUCGACUUGGAGGUUGUGCCCUUGAGGCGUGGCUUCCGGAGCUAACGCGUUAAGUCGACCGCCUGGGGAGUACGGCCGCAAGGUUAAAACUCAAAUGAAUUGACGGGGGCCCGCACAAGCGGUGGAGCAUGUGGUUUAAUUCGAUGCAACGCGAAGAACCUUACCUGGUCUUGACAUCCACGGAAGUUUUCAGAGAUGAGAAUGUGCCUUCGGGAACCGUGAGACAGGUGCUGCAUGGCUGUCGUCAGCUCGUGUUGUGAAAUGUUGGGUUAAGUCCCGCAACGAGCGCAACCCUUAUCCUUUGUUGCCAGCGGUCCGGCCGGGAACUCAAAGGAGACUGCCAGUGAUAAACUGGAGGAAGGUGGGGAUGACGUCAAGUCAUCAUGGCCCUUACGACCAGGGCUACACACGUGCUACAAUGGCGCAUACAAAGAGAAGCGACCUCGCGAGAGCAAGCGGACCUCAUAAAGUGCGUCGUAGUCCGGAUUGGAGUCUGCAACUCGACUUCAUGAAGUCGGAAUCGCUAGUAAUCGUGGAUCAGAAUGCCACGGUGAAUACGUUCCCGGGUUUUGUACACACCGCUCGUCACUCCAUGGGUGUGGGUUGCAAAAGAAGUAGGUAGCUUAACCUUCGGGAGGGCGCUUACCACUUUGUGAUUCAUGAGUGGGGUGUAGUAGUAACAAGGUA
rnacentral:rRNA from 1 species